AUCUAUACUACGCAUGCGUAAAAGUCAGUUCUACUAAAUUUUUUACAAUUUAUUCAUUUUACAACGCAACGACCACGAAUGACGACGUACAUUUGGAUUUUGAAAAAAAUACCUUCAGAAUCGGGUGUUUUGACGAUGCCAUUUAUGGAUUACACCAAGAUGCCUCAGUUUUUACUAUGAAAUCAGGAUAUAUAUUCUUAUGUUUCGGAGUUUCCCGUUAACAGGUUUCAAACUCGGGAGGAAUUUACCCCAGCCACUCCUUAAAACAACGAUAGAUCCUCGCUCAAACGACACAGGACUAAGUGGACAAAUGGUCAUUAAUCUGCGAACGAAAUUACAGAUUCCUUUGGAAUUUCGUGAGCUAAAUUUUGUGCUAUUUGCAGAAAAAUGGAUAUUUCAAUAAACAAAAAACCCAAGGUUGUGUGUAAGAAAACGCAUUCUUCUCAUUCAUCUUUUGUGUCCAUUGGAUUCUAUGUUAUUUUCCGUGAAUCAAGCAUUGUGAAAUGAAUAUAUUAUAUAACAAUGAACGAUGAAUUUAGGAAAUUUAUGAUCGAAGCCACGGAUGCGUCUACAAUAAUGAAUCCGAGACAUUCUGUUCACUGGAUUAUUUGUGCCAUUUUCAAUAGGAUUUUUUGUGAAAUAUUAACAUUUAACGCUACUAAUUUCCUACAUUGUUCAUAUUAAAUUGUUUGAUUUGUCA